rfam:Pristionchus pacificus strain PS312 contig694, whole genome shotgun sequence.
UCUUCAUUUCACAUACUCUCUCGCCGCUCGAUCGGCCGAGAGAGUGUGGGAAAUGAAGAGA